rnacentral:rRNA from 1 species
AUUGAACGCUGGCGGCAGGCUUAACACAUGCAAGUCGAGCGGAGAGAGGUAGCUUGCUACUGAUCUUAGCGGCGGACGGGUGAGUAAUGCUUAGGAAUCUGCCUAUUAGUGGGGGACAACAUUUCGAAAGGAAUGCUAAUACCGCAUACGUCAUACGGGAGAAAGCAGGGGAUCUUCGGACCUUGCGCUAAUAGAUGAGCAUAAGUCGGAUUAGCUAGUUGGUGGGGUAAAGGCCUACCAAGGCGACGAUCUGUAGCGGGUCUGGGGGGAUGAUCCGCCACACUGGGACUGAGACACGGCCCAGACUCCUACGGGAGGCAGCAGUGGGGAAUAUUGGACAAUGGGCGCAAGCCUGAUCCAGCCAUGCCGCGUGUGUGAAGAAGGCCUUAUGGUUGUAAAGCACUUUAAGCGAGGAGGAGGCUACUUUAGUUAAUACCUAGAGAUAGUGGACGUUACUCGCAGAAUAAGCACCGGCUAACUCUGUGCCAGCCGCCGCCGUAAAAC